UCGUGUUAAUUGAUCAGAACGAGCGGUUUGUUUGCCAAUUGAUUAUAAAAUAUUUCUUCUAUGGGAACGAACAAUCCUGUUUUCUCGCGACGUUUUCUGGGAAGAAGAAAGAACGUCAUUCUUUGAUCGGUCCAUGUAAUGCGAUUCCCUCACCGCGAAUACAGUACAAAAAAUAUCGAUGAAAGCUUGAUUGAAUUCUAAAACAAAUUAAAAAAGAAAAAGAGAUCUGAAAAUAAAAAAAAAUUUUUUAUAUACAUGUAACAUAUGUGAUGGUGAAUAUAGCACGUUUUGUAUCAGCAAGAAUUAGAGAAUUUUAAAUUAAAAAU